rnacentral:rRNA from 1 species
UACAGAGGUCUCAAGCGUUGUUCGGAAUCACUGGGCGUAAAGGGUGCGUAGGUGGCGUGGUAAGUCAGAUGUGAAAGCCCGGGGCUCAACCUCGGAAUUGCAUCCGAUACUGCCAUGCUUGAGUAUUGGAGAGGAGUCUAGAAUUCACGGUGUAGCAGUGAAAUGCGUAGAUAUCGUGAGGAAUACCAAAGGCGAAGGCAGGACUCUGGACAAUUACUGACACUGAGGCACGAAGGCUAGGGGAGCGAACGGG